rnacentral:lncRNA from 1 species
ACCAUUACUUAUUUCCCUUCAUUGCUUUAAUUUGUAGCAGUGUUGGUUCUAUCUAUAUUAAUUACAUUACUAGCAUGGAGAACAAAACAGAUACUAGUAGUGGAAUAUUAGUGAUGGUGAGUGUGGAAUCUGUUUCUUUAAAUACAAAAAUGAAUGGAAGAUUCUGUGUGAAAAUUUAUUUCCAUCGACACAGAAGAUCCGUUCAAUGUUUCUCCUAUUUAAUAUGAUCAAUUCCAACACCAUCUCAUGGAAAUCAAGGACAGUGUUCAUGUUCCAAAAGGGGCAAAAUCUAUUCGUUUCGAGGUGUUUAAGUUACGUAUAUUCUUUCCCAACAUACAAAUUGGAUACCCAAGUACUCAAGAGUACUAAAUCAGAGGAAUUACGUUCAGAAGAAGAAAAAUUUCUUUUUCAAAAUACAGCAAAGGGAUCGUUGAAUAUAGGAGUGGUACUGAGGGAGAAAGUAUCAAACAAAGAUGGUGCUCGUGAUUAUUUUGUCCUCGACUCAAACGGUUUUAUGAUUUCAAGUUCCAAUAUAUAGGAGAUUCCAAGAUUAGUCCGGGCUAAAUGAUUUUCAAUUUUAUUCAUAAGAAUUCUAAAAAUGUCACUUUUCUUUUAUUGGAAUUGUAAGAUGGCAAGACAUUAGACAUCCCAUUUCUUUCCUUAAUAAUAGCUAGGAUUAAUUAGGACAUUCUUGAGUAAGACUCUUUUUAAGAGUAAUUGUUAGGCUCUUGUUAUAUUAGUAUUUUAAUUCUUAUCCCAUGUUAAUUGAUUUAUUUUAAAAAA